CAUCCCCUCUUCAAUAGUCGAUAGGACUGCGCGAAGAACAUUAUUGAAAUAAACCUGAUGGGUUGUUGCUGGCUCUCUAGGGAGCAUGUGCACGCCUUGUCAUCUUUAUAUCUCCACCUGUGCACUUUUUGUAGACCUUUCAGGUCUAUGUUGCUUCAUUUUUACCCCAAUGUAUGUUAAUAGAAUGUUGUGCCUAUAUAAUUUAUACAACUUUCAGCAACGGAUCUCUUGGCUCUCGCAUCGAUGAAGAACGCAGCGAAAUGCGAUAAGUAAUGUGAAUUGCAGAAUUCAGUGAAUCAUCGAAUCUUUGAACGCACCUUGCGCUCCUUGGUAUUCCGAGGAGCAUGCCUGUUUGAGUGUCAUUAAUAUAUAUCAACCUUCUCUUUGUUGAGAGGUUUGGAUGUGGGGGUUUGCUGGCCUUUAUAAAAGGUUCAGCUCCUCUGAAAUGCAUUAGCAAAACAAACCUGUUCAUUGGUGUGAUAACUAUCUACGCUAUUGAAUGUGAGGGGCAGUUCAGCUUUCUAACCGUCCUCGGACAAAUUCAUCAUUAAUGUGACCUCAAAUCAGGUAGGACUACCCGCUGAACUUAAGCAUAUCAAUAAGCGGAGGAA
rnacentral:rRNA from 1 species